GUCAGCUAAAACUAUUAGGUUCUUCAUGGGCGGAGGCGGUAUGGCCACCCAUGUAGGUCUCCCCGAACCGAAAUCAAUAUCAUAGAGAGGAAAUCUGCACAUGCUACUGUAGGUAGACAUAACCAUCCUUCCUGGUCUGGCAAGCCUUUGAACAAAUCGGUUGAGGUAACUCCUGUGCUCCCCUGUUGUAGCCUAUUCACAUGGUCCUUGUCAAUCUUUCUUAGUUCUUCUCGUACCUGCUUUACCAUGUCAUGACAAGAUUCUUGAUCAUAGACUCCGUUGCUGCUGCUGCUGCUGCUACUACUGAUCAAGGGAGUCGUAAGGAAAAUUUGAUAAAUAUUUCCAAAUGAACAGCGUGGCAAUGGUGGAUCAAUCGUGGAUCAAUAGGAUGAUCAUCCUUGGUAGCUUCUGUGAAUCGCCUCCAUAUGAAAGCAGACAAAGUUUCAACACGCGAUGGACGUUUUUCACGAUCAUCUUCCGCUAAACCGGUGUAUUUUUCUCCGAUAUCCCUCUAUUGUAGGGGCAUUGAACACAAAGCUCUUUUUUGCUUUAUUUGUUGUGAUGCUGCCGAGCGUAUCAUAGCCAGUAACAUCAUUGGCAGGUGGAAACGUACUCUGGACGCUCGAUUUUUGCUUCAUCUUUUUCUCCCAGGCCAAUGGCAGCCCAGGUUUUUGUGAACAUGAGCAUAGAUAACCCAUCUGCCAACUUGUGGGAAGUGCAUAGACCAAUGGCAAAGCCGCCUCCACAUUCAAAGAUAUUGUGCUGGACGCCUAAGGUAUUAACCAAUGACACAUGGCAAGGAAUUGUGAGUCAAGUUAGUUACAAAGGUAGUUGGGAAUUGAGUUUGUUAAGGAGGUUAGAGGGUAAUAUUGUAAUUGUGGAUUGUGAUUGGUUACUACAUAUAGCCAUUUGAUCCUUCACAUUCGGUAAGAAAGCUUUGUAAGAACACUUCGUCACUAAGAAAUUAGAGCAUACUUUGUUCUUCCAUUUUCUUUCUUUCUGCUUGAUCUUACUGUUCUUUAGAGAUUCAUAGUUCUGUUAAUAUGGUAUUAGAGCCACCAGGCUCACACCAUGGAUUCUGGUGGUUCCACUUCCCAUUAUUUUUCAUCUGUUUCUAGCUUAGUUUUCUUUCCAAAUUUUCAUUCGAUGGUCGGAUAUGUUUCUGGGUGCUUCCGCAAUCGUUCGUUUACUUCUGGGUUGAUUUUUUGUGAAGCUGCUGCUGACUCGCAGGAAUUCAAAGUUCAAUCAUUUAAUCGGAUGAUUAAAAGAUUUGGGGGUGUUUGAUUUGAUUAACCAAUGAUUCGUGGUGAUGGUUUCUGUAAUCGAUUCGUAACUUCUGGGCUAUGAACAGAGAGUGUAGGUCAAAAUCUGGGUCGUCAAAAGAUUACGGUGCCGAGUUCCAUCUUCUUUCUGCUGUGCAAAUCUCGAUUCGGUGGUGAUUAUUUCUGCUGUUCGUCUGGGAAUUUCUCUUCUGCGUUGCUGAUUGGAAAGUGGGAUCUUGGACUCUGUCAAGUUGUUUCUUGUAUCUGUCAUCUUCUUUAUGCAUGCAUGGUGUUUGUGGAAUUGCUGCAGAGGAUAAAGUGAAUGGAGAAAAAAGUUGCUACAUCAAAAUUGUUGGCCACGAAAGGUGAAGACUCCUUAUUCUGUGACAUGGGUAAUUGUUCUUGUCCUGAAAUGGUUUUAAUUUCGGUUGCAAAAUCUGGUGAAAAUGAUGCCCAUCAUGUGUUUGUUGGACGGCAGCAAACGACUGACAUUGCUUCUUUGAAGCAUGGCUUCCAUGAAUUCAUUCGAGACAAGGGUGGAGGUUUACCAAAAGACAAGAUUUGGAAGGACCACUCAAGAAUAUCCAGGAAUUUUUCAGAAGAAAUCGACCUCUUAAUUGUACCUGCUGACCAAACUCGUAUUGCUCUCCAAGUGUUUGAUGAAAGGUCACACUCAGCAGAUUGUGAUUUGCAGUUGGGCUAUCACAUGCCGAUUUCUGACACCGGAGGUACACUUCGUAGGUUCUUUACUUCGACUGUUCAAAUCAAAGAUGCUCAUAGUUCUAAAGGUGGAACAACUAUUCAAAGGCUCCUUAAUUCAGAAUCUACUGGAAAAGUUGAAACCAUUUUGGUGCAAGAAAAUGCGUCUGCUUAACUGUUUGAUGCAUUGCAGCCUUUUGGUGGGUUUUAUAAUGAUGCACUUGUUUCUGUUAGUUUUCAGUUCACCUAUCAUAAAGGAAUUCGUGAUAAAGGUGGAACUAUUUUUCUCUCUGAAUUCAAUUCAAUGGAUUUCCUAGCAGUCUGUGAGUUGGGUUUUGUUCUUAAUGUGAAAAAGAUGAAUUUUUUGGAGGAAGCUGACCCCUUGAUUGUACCUGUUGAGACGACUUUUCUUGUUUUCAAUCUGUUUGAUAAAAUGUGGCUCUCUAGUUGCUGUAUGUGCUACUGGAAGGGCAUUCAUGAUAAGGAUGGAGGCUCAAAAUUCAGGGAUGAAAAAAUUCAAGCAUGUGCUGCAAAUAGAGGAUGAUUAGUCGGAGGAAGUUUCCAACUUGAUUACCCAAGUGUUGGGUAACGGAAACUCUUAUGAUGGUUACACGUAUGACUGAUGGAAAAACUGUAAUGUCCAAUGUUGCCAGAAAAUCAAAGGUGGCUGAUCUUGCUCGGUUUCUUACUGAUUAUGGGGCUUGCAUUGAAGGAGCAGGCAACAACAAGCUUAUUAGCAAGGGAAAAUCUCAGUUGCAUGGUUAUGAAUGCAUUAUUGCACCUGAUCGUAUUGAAGUCUAUACAUUUAUUCUUGCUGCGGCUAUUACUCACUCUUGCAUCUCGAUAUCACAUAUCGUGUCGUGUCAAGUGUCCUAUUUGAUACACAAACGCUCGGCUGUUGGUUACAAAAUCAAGCAAUAUUCACAUGAUACCUUGGCAGUUUCAGCUUUGCUUGGACGUGGUGGUGACAAUUUGCAAAGCUUUGAGGUUACAGGUCUAUAUCCUGGGUUUCUCACAUACCUCAAACCAAAAUUAAUGGCUUUGCUAACCACGUGCAAUGGAUUAAGUCAUGCAGAGGAACCUGUAUUUGACAAGAGCAUAAGUCAUGUAAGUACAACCCUUAAUUCCUCUUCUACAAAUGAAUCUGAAAAUGCUAUUGCAUAUAACAACGAUGUAGCAGAUGAGGCUUUAUGUUUGAUACUCAUCUCAAUUGGUAAAACAAAUGAGAUUGUGGGAAAUACUGUGUUGCGCAAAACAGGGGGCUUGCCAAUUGAGAGGGCAGAUUCUUGUCAACCGAUAUGGCCGCUAGUAUUAACACACAAAUUUCAAAAUAAUACUACGAGCAUGGUUGUUAAUUUUGUGCUUACUGCUGUGAUUGGUGCAUUGUUACUGAGAAAGAAAGGAAACAAAUUCAUAGGGUUGGUGUACAGGUGGACUUUCUAGGUAGGAGCUCAGUUCAUGUGAGUAGUGUCAUUAUGCAUCUGUACUCUAGGUGUGGCAAUGAGCAUAAGGCGUUGCAGUUUCUCUUGGACCCAGAUUUGUGCAGACUGACUAAACCAGAUAUCGUUUCUUGGACUUCUUUGUUGGGAGGGUGUGUUAUGACAUUGGGUUCUGAAUGGUCAAGUAUUUUUGGGUCACUUUUAUGGAGUAACUUAGGCCAUGAAAAGAGAAAUGUUGAAUUGCAGUGCUGCUGCUUUGCAUUCCUUUCCAUCUUGUUGAACACACAGCCUGUUUCUAAUAUGCAUUUCGAGGAACUAAUCAAUCAGAGAUCUUUUGGGUUCGUCUCAAGCUCAACUUGUAGAGAAUUGGUAACGAGAUUUAAUGUAGCUGCUAUUGUGCUAAUCAAGUGGCGGUACUACUCUUUGAUCAGAUUUUGUGGAACUGUCAAGCUUUGAAGUUGUCCAGCUUUGCAAAUCAAAUUCUUCAGGUUUUUCAGUUUCAAGCCUUGCUGCACAGGUCAUUUUAUUAGGGGGGUAUUGUUAGGAUGCCACAGGGCCAUUGCCAGUUAUCACAGAUUCUGGGAUUUUGCAAGAUGUACCAGUGCAGUCUUGGAUAGAAGAAUGAUCAAGAAAGUGCUGUAGCUACGGAAGCCUUAGUCAAUGGCAAAACCACUCCAAGAUGAUGCUACAUGGGAACUAUACCGUGAACUGAAGCUCAAGUUUCCAGAAAUUGUGAACCUUUAAUACAUUCUUGUGAUUUUGUUGUUUCUGGUUUUAUUGCUGGUUUUCGAUUGUACUUGGUUCGAAAUUGUAAAUCUUACUUGUAAGAUUGGUUUUAAGGGGGGGUAUUGUUAGGAUGCCAGAUGGCAUCAUCUUGGUGAUAGCUAGAGUUGAGUAUUAGCAUAAAUAGUACAUUGUAAGAGAAGAAAGGCAGUUAAUGAAAUGAUAUUGUUGUUUUGUUACUA